CGCGGGUUGGUCCUGAUAGGGGCUGAUAAAGAAUCCCCGACAUCCGGUAUCUGAUGCAGGUGGUCCGGAUGACCGGAAGAGUCUCAUAAGCUCAUCCAGGCGGGUUCAACUCCCGCACCUGCUACCA
rnacentral:tRNA from 1 species